rnacentral:rRNA from 1 species
GAUGAACGCUAGCUACAGGCUUAACACAUGCAAGUCGAGGGGCAGCAUGAAGUCAGCUUGCUGACUUUGAUGGCGACCGGCGCACGGGUGAGUAACGCGUAUCCAACCUUCCCCUUACUCAGGAAUAGCCCGUUGAAAGACGGAUUAAUGCCUGAUGUUCUCUAUUUCCGGCAUCGGUAAUAGAGCAAAGAUUCAUCGGUAAGGGAUGGGGAUGCGUGACAUUAGGUAGUUGGUGAGGUAACGGCUCACCAAGCCUACGAUGUCUAGGGGUUCUGAGAGGAAGGUCCCCCACACUGGAACUGAGACACGGUCCAGACUCCUACGGGAGGCAGCAGUGGGGAAUAUUGGGCAAUGGGGGAAACCCUGACCCAGCAACGCCGCGUGAAGGAAGAAGGCCUCGGUGUAACUUCUUUACUAGGACGAAGAACGUAGACGGUACCU